GGGAGCGAUCGGCUGCCGCCCCGGCCUCGGCGCCGGGCGGGCCGGGGCCCCGGGAGCGCACGGACGGCCUCGCCAGCUGCUGCCACUGUGGGUACUUGCCCUUGAGUGAAAGGCCACUACUCUCACUGGCUCCCAGCUGUGACAUCCCAUCACUCCCCCUACGUCCUGGAACAGCCUGACCCAGGGUGCGAGCCCACUCAGCGGCCCUUAUGUAGUGGUGACCACUCCAACCAGCAGGAGUGGAAGAUGGUACCUGUCAACCCCAAGGCGGAGGAGGAGCCCGCAGCCGUUGCCGAGAGAUGGAGGACCCCACACCUGAGCCCGUCUAUGUCGAUGUGGACAAAGGACUGACCUUGGCCUGCUUCGUCUUCCUCUGCCUCUUCCUUGUCGUGAUGAUUAUUCGCUGUGCCAAGGUCAUCAUGGACCCUUACAGCGCCAUCCCCACAUCCACCUGGGAGGAGCAGCACCUGGACGACUGAGGCAGUGGCGAGGGAGCGAGCCCCAGUGCUCUCUGAGCAGGGGAGGCCCAGGAUGCGCUCUGUGUCCCCUGGCCAUCGGCUGCCAACCCACGGAGGCGAGAAUGGAUUCGGCCACCCGGGGUUGGAGAAGGCUCACCUUAGUCUUGUCCACUCUCACACGAGCAGCAGAGUGAAAGGCUCGGGGUGCUGGGGGUGUUGCGGUGGUGGCACAGUCUGGAGAUAAGAGCAAUGGGCCCAGAGUCAGGAGGUCCCGGGUUCUAGUCUGGGGAAUCACUCUGAGACUAUGGGGCCAUCACCUUCCCUGGGUCCUGUGCACCUUUUGGAAUUGGAUACAGAUCCCACCAUCGCACAACGGGGGUCUCAUUUUGGAGAGACUCUUGCCCUUGACAUGCAAAGCAGCACACGCCCUAGCCCUGGAGGCUCCCAGCACAGAUGUCCCAUGGGAGCCCCAGCCCCUUCCCAAGGAACCAGCAACGCAGCAGGUGGUAAAGUGAGAAAGGAGAGGGGAGGCACGUCACCUCAAAAUUCACAAAAGGCACAGGGGCAGCUUCCCAGCAGUGUUUUUUUAAACGAAAAUCUAGAUGGAGUGUAUUUUUCCAGGUAUAAAUGAAAUGUGCAUUUUAGAAGUUUGGGGACAUACAGAAAAAAUAGAAAGAAAGGAGGGAACUAACACUUAGAUUCCCAAUUCCUGGAAGCCACCACAUUGAUAUAUUUUCUCCCAGGCUUUUUUACUGAUAUAUUUUUAAAUAGUCAGAUUCAUGCUGUUUGCAGGAUGUUGUAUCACUUCAUAUUCGAGCACAAACACUUUCUCAGUGCAUCAAACUCUCUUGAUAGCCGUCGUUUUUACUGGUUGCCAAGUGUUCCAUGGGGUGGAGAGAUCACAGUUGAGUAAUCCUCUCUUUGGUCAUCCAUUUCAUUUUUUUAAUGGGCUUCUCCUCCCAUAAAAUUAGUUCACUCCGUGACCUCUUGAGAGUGCAUGGUCCCCGAGAUGAACAUUGGACAGGAAGACCUGAGUUCUAGUCCUGUCAGUCACACUAAGGCUGUGUGACCUUGAGCAAGUCGCUUAACCUCUCGGUGCCUCAGUUCUUUCAUUUGAUAAUGAGGAGGAAAAGACUUGCCUUUCUUGUUCUGUGUAAGCCUCCUGGGAGUGAAGGGACAGGAAGGGGGGGUGCUUUGAAUGUAAAUGUGCUGUGGGGGAGGGGCAAGGAAUAAGGUGUUGAUAAUGACUCUUCUUGGGGGGACUCCUUCUCCUUUUCCCACUCCUCUGAGCCCCUCUCACUGCAUCACCUGUACCUAUGACCUUGCAGCCAGAACAGGUAGGGGGUUCCCAUUGUGGCUCAGUGGUAAUGAAUCCGCCUAAUAUCAGAGCUCACAGACCUGGUCCCGAAUCCCAAGCCCUCUACUUUCUUGCUCUGUGACCCCAAAUAACUCAGCUUCUCUGAGCCCCAGGGGCCUCAUCCGCAAAAUGAGAGAAUAACAUCUACCUCACAAGGUUGUUGUGAGGAUGAAAUGAGAGAACACGGGCAAACAUUAGUGUCUUUUCUUGAUUCCACCAUUUCAGGAGAAGUCAGGGGCCUGAACUAGAGCAGUGGUGCCAGAUUCCCCCUUCCCUGCAGAGUCUCGGACCCCGGGCUUUCCCCAGCUUCCCAAGACCACUUCUGAAAGGCCAACUCUCCCAGCCAGGACUGCCGGUCAGAGGAAUACUCACAGCAAUCUCUCCUGGCACCUGACCACAAGGGAUAGGGUGUCUAUUAAUUUACAUAAUUGUCAACUGUCGCCAGUAUUCUCAUGCACAUCAGGUGAAGAUAAAUUAGACCACCUGAACUCCCCCUUCUGAAUGCAUUUAUUCCAUCCCUCCAAGGCAUGGCUGCCAUCCCCAUCAGAAGUGACCUGCAGGUCUGAAGAAGCUCAAGGCUUCCUUUUCAUCUCCUGCAUCCCAACCAUGAGUCCCCUGCCAUCUCAGGCCACACAGGUUUCCAAAGCACUGUCAGGACCAGGUGACCCCUGAAAGUGAACAAGGCCACAGCUGUUCAGGCAGCAUUCCAGGGCAUAUCCAGCUGUUGCCCCCGACUCCCGUGUGAGAUGCACAAAGGGACCUCUGGCAAAAGCAGUGGACUGAGGUGCACCGGAGGCUCUGUGUGGGAGCAAGGACCUGGAACAUUGCCUCAGGUCCAGCAGCAGCCUUCAGCCUGCAGCCUACUUCAGAGAUCCCAAGCACUUUUGUGAAAGCCUCAUCAGCAUGGGUUUGCAAUGUAAAUCAGAGCCAGCUCCCAGUCGGUUAAUAAGAGAUCCCAAGGAAUAAGAAGUGAUCUUGAAGACCUCAGUUGGAAAUACUUAGAGCUUCCAGGAGUGAAAAACAGGGUGCCAGGGGCCAUACUACUCAAAUUGCAGUGAAGGAUGAAUAGCAUCUGCCACAUUGAGGCUCUUGUUAGAAACCCCAAAUCAUGGACCCUGUCUCCAAACCUACAGAAUCACAACUGGCGGUGGUGGGGGAGGGCCCUCGAACCUAUUAGCAAGAUCUGUCAAGGGAUUAUUCGUAUGCACAUUAGAGCUUGAGAAGCACUGCCCUGGAGAUUCUUUAGUCUCUCUCUCUCUCUCUUUUUUUUUUUUUUUUUCUUUUUAGGGCCACACUUGCAGCAUUUGGAGGUUCCCAGGCUAGGGGUUGAAUCGGAGCUGCAGUUGCCAGCCUUCAGCAAUGCUGCCACAACAUUGUGGGAUCCUUGCCACAAUGCGGCCUAUACCACAACUCACAGCAAUGCCGGAUCCUUGACCCACUGAGUGAGGCCAGGGAUCGAACCCGCUUCCUCAUGGAUACUAGUCGGGUUCAUGACCACUGUGCCACAAUGGGAACUCCAGGUUUCAAAUCUUUCUUUUCUACACUUAAAUUUACUAAUAUUUCCCACCUUAUCUCAACUCGUUUUUUGGUGGCCAAGAGAGAUACUAACAUUUCAGAAAAAGACGGGAAAACAUAAAAAUCGCUCCUAAUCCAAGCCUCCACAAAACAUUGAUAUCCAUUGUGUGUCCAUGUGUUUCCUUCUAAUCCUUGUCCACAUGCAAGAUAUAUUUUUUCCAUAAAAUCCGUUGGUUACAUCAUUUAAAUUGACAGCUCUGAAUAUUACAUCAUAAGCAUGUUUCUGAUACUGUCUCCCUAUGUAUCAUUUUAGUGGCUAUAAAACAUGUCAUCUAAUGCGUGUACGUAAUUAUCCAGAUUCUUGUUAAGUACUUGGAUUUCUUUUAUUUUCCCUAUUACACGUGUUCCAAUAUAUAAAAAAUAAAGCUAAAGACAGACACAGUAACCACCCCCCCAGGGCUUGCUCAGGAUGGUGGAGAAUAAACAUGUAAAUUAUACCCCCUCUGCCUUAGAGACACACAUGGGGGAGGGAGAUCCAUCUAAGCAUUUGAUCAUAUCAACGAGCUUAUAUGAUCAAGAAAAAACAACUGAAAUUUCAAGCUUCUGUUGUUGCUUUAUGCUGCUAAAAAAUGGAGGAGAUGGUUCUUUGUCGUCGGAGCACCUUACAGUGUCCAGCCAGCUGAGACGAAGUGUGAGGCUUUGGACUGAAAAGAUCAAUUGGCCAGCAAAAGAAAUGAGAAUUUUGGAAGACUGGAAACUGGAAGAGAGCAAAUGAAAAGCAUCAGAGAAAGAGAGAGAGAGGUCUGUGGUGUUGGCCCUAAUCCAGGGUUUAAAACAAAACGUGAUCAGAGAGAAACUCCCCGCUGCAGGCAAGGGGUGAUGGAUUUUCCAGACAGCGGUGCCUCAUGGCUGAAUUUAAGUUGUUGCCUGUUCUGUGCUCUGCUACAGUCCUUUCCUGUUACUCCAAACCCUCAGUAAAGUCCGAUACAC
rnacentral:lncRNA from 1 species